UGGGGAAUAUUGGACAAUGGGCGCAAGCCUGAUCCAGCCAUGCCGCGUGAGUGAUGAAGGCCCUAGGGUUGUAAAGCUCUUUCACAGGUGAAGAUAAUGACGGUAACCGGAGAAGAAGCCCCGGCUAACUUCGUGCCAGCAGCCGCGGUAAUACGAAGGGGGCUAGCGUUGUUCGGAUUUACUGGGCGUAAAGCGCACGUAGGCGGACUUUUAAGUCAGGGGUGAAAUCCCGGGGCUCAACCCCGGAACUGCCUUUGAUACUGGAAGUCUUGAGUAUGGUAGUGGUGAGUGGAAUUCCGUGUAUAGAGGUGAAAUUCGUAGAUAUUCAGAGGAACACCAGUUGCGAAGGCGGCUCACUGGACCAUUACUGACUCUGAGGUGCGAAAGCGUGGGGAGCAAACAGG
rnacentral:rRNA from 1 species